CGAAAUGUUUGAUUUCAAUUUCAAAUAUCCCUGCCAUUGAUGUCAACUGUCAACUCUGCCAUUUCGCCAGAUAUCAUAUAUCUUCCUUUAAAACCCACAGUAUGGGGAAAGGUUAGAUUAACACCAGGAAAGAAGAAUUGUAAGGGUAUUUGAGGGCAAUAAUUUAACAAAGCGAGAAAGGAUCGAUGCAGUAUUUACCAACCAAGCAUAGCUCAGACUAGUAGUACAAGUAUGAGUACGAGUCCCACACAUUAACUUAUGUGUGGGAAAAAUAGUCGGUCUGAAGACAAUGCUGCACUGGAUCUGGAUCGCUAGCUGCAUGCUGGAGGCUGCCGGCUGGAACUACUUUAAAGAUCAUCAUUUUGUCAAGGAAAGACAUGGGCAGAAGUCUACAAAUAAGCACUUCCAGACUUGGACUUGGACUUGGAGUGAAUCAGUACUUUGGAUAUAUGCUACCUCUGUGUUUUUUUUUUAUCCCACAGAAAGUUUGACAUGGAAUUGAGGGGGGGGGGGGGUGCAAUAUAGUUUUAAUCCACACUUUUGUGAAAAAUGAGUUACAUCCAUUUCCAUCAGCUUUCUAGAUUGUUCUUCAUCUUCUGACAAUUAAAAAAAAAGGAAAUCAACUGAUUAAUAGGGAAAUGAAUAAAUAUUCUUCUCCUGAAAACAAGCAAUUAUCUGAACACAAAAAAAAAAGUAACUCCCCCUUAAUCAAAAUGGCGUAGCUUUUAAAGAAAAGGUUUUGAGCAAAAUAAAUUGGCAGGACUGUUCCUAUAUUUAUUGACUAACUUUUCUCCCGAAAUAAAAUUGCUCCAUUGAGUAAUGCAUGAGUGGACAAACAGGCAAAAUUUUCACUUUUCAAAAGUCACAGUGGUUAUGUUUUAUGCUGUUUUGACAGUACAUUUUAGCUUUUCUUACACUAUUUUUAAAGUUUGCUCACCCAAGCAUGACACGAUUACAACCUCUUGAGUUCACACAACUUGUGAUGAAACAUUU